rnacentral:rRNA from 1 species
GACGAACGCUGGCGGCGUGCUUAACACAUGCAAGUCGAACGGAAAGGCCCUGCUUUUGUGGGGUGCUCGAGUGGCGAACGGGUGAGUAACACGUGAGUAACCUGCCCUUGACUUUGGGAUAGCUUCAGGAAAUUGGGGCUAAUACCGGAUAGGAGCUCCUGCUGCAUGGUGGGGGUUGGAAAGUUUCGGCGGUUGGGGAUGGACUCGCGGCUUAUCAGCUUGUUGGUGGGGUAGUGGCUUACCAAGGCUUUGACGGGUAGCCGGCCUGAGAGGGUGACCGGCCACAUUGGGACUGAGAUACGGCCCAGACUCCUACGGGAGGCAGCAGUGGGGAAUAUUGCACAAUGGGCGGAAGCCUGAUGCAGCAACGCCGCGUGCGGGAUGACGGCCUUCGGGUUGUAAACCGCUUUCGCCUGUGACGAAGCGUGAGUGACGGUAAUGGGUAAAGAAGCACCGGCUAACUACGUG